rnacentral:rRNA from 1 species
UCGGUAAAAGAUGGGCCCGCAUCUGAUUAGCUAGUUGGUGAGAUAAUAGCCCACCAAGGCAACGAUCAGUAGCCGACCUGAGAGGGUGACCGGCCACAUUGGGACUGAGACACGGCCCAAACUCCUACGGGAGGCAGCAGUGGGGAAUAUUGCACAAUGGGCGAAAGCCUGAUGCAGCAACGCCGCGUGAAGGAAGACGGUUUUCGGAUUGUAAACUUCUAUCAAUAGGGAAGAAAGAAAUGACGGUACCUAAAUAAGAAGCCCCGGCUAACUACGUGCCAGCAGCCGCGGUAAUACGUAGGGGGCAAGCGUUAUCCGGAAUUACUGGGUGUAAAGGGAGAGUAGGCGGCAAGGUAAGCGAUAUGUGAAAGCCUUAGGCUUAACCAAAGGAUUGCAUAACGAACUAUCUAGCUAGAGUACAGGAGAGGAAAGCGGAAUUCCUAGUGUAGCGGUGAAAUGCGUAGAUAUUAGGAAGAACACCAGUGGCGAAGGCGGCUUUCUGGACUGAAACUGACGCUGAGGCUCGAAAGCGUGGGGAGCGAACAGGAUUAGAUACCCUGGUAGUCCACGCUGUAAACGAUGAGUGCUAGGUGUCGGGGAGGAAUUCCCG